rnacentral:rRNA from 1 species
CCCUUAGAUGUUCUGGGCCGCACGCGCGCUACAAUGAUGAAUUCAACGAGUUUAUAACCUUGGUUGAAAAGCCUGGGUAAUCUUUUGAACUUUCGUCGUGAUGGGGCUAGACCCUUGCAAUUAUUGGUCUCCAACGAGGAAUUCCUAGUAAACGCAAGUCAUCAGCUUGCAUUGAUUACGUCCCUGCCCUUUGUACACACCGCCCGUCGCACCUACCGAUUGAAUGGUCCGGUGAAAUCUUCGGAUUGAGACUUUGAUUUGUUUACUCAAUACGCUGUUUCAAGAAGUUGAUUAAACCUUACCAUUUAGAGGAAGGUGAAGUCGUAACA